rnacentral:rRNA from 1 species
AUUGAACGCUGGCGGAAUGCUUUACACAUGCAAGUCGAACGGCAGCACGGGCUUCGGUCUGGUGGCGAGUGGCGAACGGGUGAGUAAUGUAUCGGAACGUGCCCAGUCGUGGGGGAUAACGUAGUGAAAAUUACGCUAAUACCGCAUACGAUCUAUGGAUGAAAGCGGGGGAUCGCAAGACCUCGCGCGAUUGGAGCGGCCGAUAUCAGAUUAGGUAGUUGGUGGGGUAAAGGCCCACCAAGCCAACGGUCUGUAGCUGGUCUGAGAGGAAGACCAACCACACGUGAACGGAAACACGGUCCAGACUCCUACGGGAGGCAGCAGUGGGGAAUUUUGUACAAUGGGCGAAAGCCUGAUCCAGCCAUUCCGCGUGCAGGAUGAAGGCCCUCGGGUUGUAAACUGCUUUUGUACAGAACGAAAAGGUUUCUACUAAUACUAGGAGCUCAUGACGGUACUGUAAGAAUAAGCACCGGCUAACUACGUGCCAGCCGCCGCAGUAA